AGAUUGAACGCUGGCGGCAGGCCUAACACAUGCAAGUCGAGCGGUAGAGAGGUGCUUGCAUCUCUUGAGAGCGGCGGACGGGUGAGUAAUGCCUAGGAAUCUGCCUAGUGGUGGGGGAUAACGUUCGGAAACGGACGCUAAUACCGCAUACGUCCUACGGGAGAAAGCGGGGGACCUUCGGGCCUCGCGCCAUUAGAUGAGCCUAGGUCGGAUUAGCUAGUUGGUGAGGUAAUGGCUCACCAAGGCGACGAUCCGUAACUGGUCUGAGAGGAUGAUCAGUCACACUGGAACUGAGACACGGUCCAGACUCCUACGGGAGGCAGCAGGUGGGAAUAUUGGACAAGUGGGCGAAAGCCUGAUCCAGCCAUGCCGCGUGUGUGAAGAAGGUCUUCGGAUUUGUAAAGCGUAACUUUAAGUUCGGGAGGUAAGGGUUAGUAACCCUAAGUUACGGUUGCGUAAACUUUUUGAACGUUUACCGACUAGAACUAAGACACCGCUAACUUCGUAGCCAGCAGCCGUA
rnacentral:rRNA from 1 species